AAUACAGCCACAUCUAUCCAUCCAGCGCUGACCACAUUUUUACGUCGCUCUGUGGUUAGGUGCUAGGGGUACUAGCUUUGCUGGGAUUGCCAGAACGCGCUCGCGUUUGCUUUGAAGAAUCAGCCAGCAGAGUUAGACGCCAUUAAAAUGACCUACUGGAGAGUAGCCGGCCUCACUUACCUACAGUUUUCAUCAAUAGCUGCAAGAGCAGUUAGGAACUCUGUGAAGAAAGACGCAAGUCUAAUGGCAUCAGCGGCUUCCUCUGAAUCUACCAUUAAAAUGGCUACAUGGAAGGAUGGAAAACCUAUCAAAAAAGAAACGUGAAGCAUGGAUUCGUCAAGAUAGAAGAGUAGUAACGAAUAAAAAUGUACAAAGCGCCCGGCAGCACCGA